CUGGGACUGUGAUGAUGUUCUUAUUUAGAAUGUCCUUCAAAAUUCCUCCUUUUGUGUUCCACAGAAUAAAACCCAUAGCUACCGUUUUGGAACGACACGAUGAUACAGACGAGUGAGGAAUCAGGAGAGGAGCUGGUUUCAAUCGCCGGGGAUGGCAGGGAGUUGACUUCCUCUGAAGUUUAAACGUAAAGGUCUCAGCUGGAUUUAAAGCGCUCUGUUUACAGUACCAUAAAAGGACCUUGGUGCAUUAAGUCGAAGGAUCCUGGCUCAAUGGAAUCUGGACGUCAGAUACCAUCCAUGCUGUUCCUUGGCAUGGACUGUAAUAAAAAAUAUAUUUUUAGAGUGGUUCUGACCGUGCAAAAGCUGCCACCACAAUGCUAGAGUGCCAUGGGUGGUUGCAAGAGCUUUGUUAUGCGGUUGCUAAGGUGUUCUGAGUGGUUGCUAGGGUCUUCUGGGUGG
ensembl:lncRNA